rnacentral:rRNA from 1 species
UACGUAGGGUGCAAGCGUUAUCCGGAAUUAUUGGGCGUAAAGAGCUCGUAGGCGGUUUGUCGCGUCUGCUGUGAAAACUGGAGGCUCAACCUCCAGCCUGCAGUGGGUACGGGCAGACUAGAGUGCGGUAGGGGAGAUUGGAAUUCCUGGUGUAGCGGUGGAAUGCGCAGAUAUCAGGAGGAACACCGAUGGCGAAGGCAGGUCUCUGGGCCGGAUACUGACGCUGAGGAGCGAAAGCGUGGGGAGCGAACAGG